ACUCCUUGAGCUGGGUAGAGUGGCACUUGGUGGUGGUGCCCACCUCCUACAAGCUGGGAACAGAGCAACCCCUUGUUUAUCUCAGCUUGGCUUUUGUAUCAUGCCUCUGCCUGGUUUGUGCCUUGGAAACUGGU
rnacentral:snoRNA from 1 species